GACGAACGCUGGCGGCGUGCUUAACACAUGCAAGUCGAACGGAAAGGCCCUGCUUUUGUGGGGUGCUCGGGUGGCGAACGGGUGAGUAACACGUGAGUAACCUGCCCUUGACUUUGGGAUAACGUCAGGAAACUGGGGCUAAUACCGGAUAGGAGCUCCUGCUGCAUGGUGGGGGUUGGAAAGUUUCGGCGGUUGGGGAUGGACUCGCGGCUUAUCAGCUUGUUGGUGGGGUAGUGGCUGACCAAGGCUUUGACGGGUAGCCGGCCUGGGAGGGUGACCGGCCACAUUGGGACUGAGCUACGGCCCAGACUCCUACGGGAGGCAGCAGUGGGGAAUAUUGCACAAUGGGCGGAAGCCUGAUGCAGCAACGCCGCGUGCGGGAUGACGGCCUUCGGGUUGUAAACCGCUUUCGCCUGUGACGAAGCGUGAGUGACGGUAAUGGGUAAAGAAGCACCGGCUAACUACGUG
rnacentral:rRNA from 1 species